rnacentral:rRNA from 1 species
GAAUGGUAAGUCAGCGGUGAAAUACUGCAGCUCAACUGAAGAACUGCCGUUGAUACUGUCAUUCUUGAGUAUAGAUGAGGUAGGCGGAAUGAGUAGUGUAGCGGUGAAAUGCAUAGAUAUUACUCAGAACACCAAUUGCGAAGGCAGCUUACUAAACUAUAACUGACGCUGAAGCACGAAAGCGUGGGUAUCAAACAGGAUUAGAUACCCUGGUAGUCCACGCCGUAAACGAUGAUUACUGGUUGUUUGCGAUACACAGUAAGCGACUGAGCGAAAGCAUUAAGUAAUCCACCUGGGGAGUACGUUGGCAACAAUGAAACUCAAAGGAAUUGACGGGGGCCCGCACAAGCGGUGGAACAUGUGGUUUAAUUCGAUGAUACGCGAGGAACCUUACCUGGGCUUAAAUGGGGAGUGACAGGGGUAGAAAUACCCUUUUCUUCGGACACUCUUCAAGGUGCUGCAUGGUUGUCGUCAGCUCGUGCCGUGAGGUGUCGGGUUAAGUCCCAUAACGAGCGCAACCCCUGUUGUCAGUUACCAGCACGUAAAGGUGGGGACUCUGGCAAGACUGCCGGUGUAAACCGCGAGGAAGGUGGGGAUGACGUCAAAUCAGCACGGCCCUUACGUCCAGGGCUACACACGUGUUACAAUGGCCAGUACAAAGGGCAGCUACACAGCAAUGUGAUACUAAUCUCGAAAACUGGUCCCAGUUCGGAUUGGAGUCUGCAACCCGACUUCAUGAAGCUGGAAUCGCUAGUAAUCGCGCAUCAGCCAUGGCGCGGUGAAUACGUUCCCGGGCAUGUACACACCGCCCGUCAAGCCAUGGAAGCCGGGCGUACAUGAAGUACGUAACCGCAAGGAGCGUC